UACUCUGCUCAUUAGUUAAGAUUAUUUAUGAAGAGAUUAUUUAUGUAAGGUAAUUGAUUGUGAAAAGAAAAGUUACAUUCAUCAUUAAAUCAAGCUUCAUUCUGACAUUAAGAUAGGAUUUAGCAUGCUGAGCUAGACAAAAACAUUGUGUAAGGUGAGAGGGAUUGCCCCUCAAAAUUUUUUUGCUGCUUAAAAGCUGAACACUGUGUUCCACCUCAAGCAUUGCAGAUAUAUUCUUCCUUUACCUGGCUGCCACUAGUUUAUAGUCCUUUCUGCUAUGACUUGUGCAGAAGAAUGUUUCCCAUCAGGCUAUUUUGUAACAUCUUUCUGCGAAGUGCUUGAACAUUAGUGCUUGCUCCAGGAAAAGCAGAGAGUAGUCAGAGAGGAAGGAGGAACAAGGCUCCCAACUUGUGCAAAGAAGUGUUCAUUACCAAGACUCUCCAGCUCAUUGCCAAGUCUCUCCAGCCCCUCCUUUGGAUUCACCUGGACAUGUGCUUCCUCAGAGUGAAGGACUGGCAUUCAUGAUCAGUCUCUUAGCCAGCCUGAGACCACAGCCCACUGACCAGCCAGCUUGUGCAGCUCCAAAUGGGACGGACCAUGUGCUGCUGCUUGUGCAGGCUGACAGGUGCAACAGCUCUCUGGGGUACCGAGAAGCUUCAUCUUUCACUGAUAUGUCUGGGACAAAAUCCUGUGUCAGGUGAUACAGCAUUGCCAGACAGCUGUCACAGUUGAAGAACUGGCAGGACUUGCAGAAGUAAGAGAACUGCUUGUUUUCUUCAUUUGUCAUUGUUAUUCCCACAUCCAGCUGCCAGAGAAGGAAUACAGAAUCAAGUGCCAAAUUGGAAAAAACACAACAGCCAAAACAAACUCCCCCAAAACCCCCUCAGUUCUGUUCUCCAUGUUUGUCUUUGGAGGAGUGUAUGAAUGAACUACAUUGUUGACUUUUCACUCAGCUUUUUUUCAGUAGAUUAUAUUUGAAAAGCUCUUUUGGAAGAGAUA